rnacentral:lncRNA from 1 species
UAGCUGCAAAAAUACCUCUAGGUGUUCCGGACACUAUGUGCCUAUAGCUGGCUACAGGAUCACAGCAGCCAAAAGCCCUCCAGGAAGAAGUAUGGAAGCAGCUUUAUUGAGGUUGCCAGCAAGGAUUACGGCUUCUUUGACGCAUGAACGUUUUGGAAUUUAUGAGGAUUUUAAUGAGGAUUUUCUGAAAAAAAUAAAAAUUGUUAUGUUCUGGGCAUUCAUCUAUCCUCUCAUCAGCUUUUGAUCUACCACAUCUUGGCUAAACUUUACCUCAGAUACUGCUGAUAUUUACUGAUACAAUUGGCUCUGGGUCGAACUUGAAGCUGCAGCAGAAGAAGAUAUGGAAAAACUAAAAUCUUCCUCAAGCAAAUAUUAGAGUAAUUGUCAUUAUCUCACCAUGCUCUUUUCCUGGUUAUAAAUAUGCUAGAAAACAUUCUUACUGUAAUUUUAAUAAAGUAUUUCUCUAUGUUUU